rnacentral:lncRNA from 1 species
GAAGUUUGAAAUCAAGGUGUGAGCGGGGCUGCGCUCCCUGUGAUGGCUCUUGGGCAGUAUCCUUCCACCGUGGACCGGUUGUUUGUGUCCCCCCCAAAUUCAUAUGUUGAAACCUGAUCCUCAAGGUGACGGUAAUCAGAGGUGGGGCCUUUGGGAGGUGAUUAAGUCACGAGGGUGGAGCCCUCAUGAUGUGAUUAGUGCCCUUGUAAAAGAGACCCCCCCAAGACCCCUAUCAUCCUGCGGUGGGAAGACACAGCAAGAAGAUGCCUUCUGUGACUCAGGGAGCAGGUCCUCACCAGACAUGGAAUCUGCCGGCAUCUUCGUCUUGGACUGCCAGCCUCCAGGACUGCCACUACACCCAUCGUGGGAGGAAGGAGCCGUGGAAGAGGCAGGGACCUGCCGUGACCAUGAGCCUAGGCCCUGCUCCUUCUUCUGUGAGCCGGACAGUCGCUGGGCCCUGCCCUGGAACCGUCCAUCCCCAGGGAGGAAGAACACGGUAAUGAUCAUGUGAACAGCAGGGUAAUUUCAGCCAGGUGAGGACAGAGUCGCAUGGGCCGGUGGCGGGGGGCGGUGUUCUUUUAGAUGGGCCUCAUCUGUUCUCCAUCAGCCCUCAGGACCCCGUUUUAUAGCCCAAGAGCUGGGCUCAGUUAGCAACUCGCCCGCAGUCACAAAGCAAAGCACGAACCCCAGGCUGACCCCGAAAUCCGAGCCCCCCACCCCCAACUCCCACCAUUAGUGGAGAGAAGCAGACAGAGCAGAGAAGGAAGCCGUCAUCCCUGGCCCUGACCCCUCGCCUGGCUUCCUUGCUGCCCUGCCGGCUUCCACAGUCACCUCCUGCAGCCCGUCUCCACCCAGCAGCCUAGCAGUGCCUCCUCCAAGCGUGCCAGCCCCAACUCAGGCCUUCCAAUGGCCUGCAGGUCCAGAGGCCCUGUAGAAGCAGCAGCUAUAAUGGGGGGUGUUAAUGAAGCCCGUAAGGAACCUGGGAUCUGAGACCGAGGGGAGGGGCAGGAAGGCCUCUCAGAGCCUGAGGGAGAGAGCGCGUGUUCAUAGAUGUUGCCGCGUCCUCCGUUUCCUCCUGAACUGAGAUCUGGGCCGCCGGUGGAAGGGCAGGUGUUGGCAGCCUGGGAGGAGCAGUGGGACCCGGUCUGCGCGUCCACCUCUGCGGGAGGAGCGGACGGAGGCCGCCCUCUGGGGACGUGGAAAGGCCUUCGGGAGCCUCGAGAGAACACAGCUCCUGGGAACAGGCUGCUGUGUCUCUCAAGGGCAGAGGGUGGCCUCGUGGGCAGCCCCAUUUCAGACUGGCGUCAAGAAACCAGACUGGCUCCAGAUCCCCCCUGAAUGACUGUGCAACUGCGGGCAAGUCUCGCCCUCUGUUAGGCUCAGUCACCACAGCCCAAAGUGAGGGGCCAGAUGACACCUGGCGCCCCGCCAGCUCUUUAAUUGUUCCUUCUUCUGCUGAGCCCAGAGUCUCCCCUGGGAGUUAUUUGGAGGAGCCCCAGGGAGCUGGAAUCCUAGUGGUGACCAGCAUCCCCCCAAGUGCAGCUGGGGUCAGGGCGCCAGGCCACGGCGGAGCAGGAGGGGGACGGACCAGGUCCCAGGAGGAAGAAGAACACAGGCCACGGAUUUCGUUUUUUUUUUCUUUCUUUACUAUUUUUCUCUUUUUAAUUACGUAAGUAUCCAUUUAUAUAUUCUCAUUGUAAAAGAUUUCAGAAGUGUCUAUGAAUAUAAAGUAAAAUAUGACAGACUCUCUCCAGGCUCCACCUGCCCCUGCAAGGUCUUGAGCAGGUGACUUGAGUUUUCGGGGCUGUCCGGAGGCAGAGGGGCGUCAGUCGCCAUGCAGGAAGCAGUGUGCCGGUCUUCCAGUGUUAAUAAGAGCACUGACUUAGCUCAUGUGCAGAAUCGUCAGACUGACACCAUUGGGAUCUCAUCGCCGGUAUGUACAUACGGACCGAGUUUCGUUCUUACCGGAACAGUGAAACACCGCACCAAACUAACUCAACCGUUUCUACUUCACUUCUGGAUUCCACCCAGACUCUGUAUGGAAGCUGGCGGCUCCCUCAACGUGCUCACCCUGAAUCUCACUGCACUCUCCCCCACACGGUGUGGGUCCCCAAGAACUCUGCACACGUGGGGCAUCUCAAACGCUUUACGAGGAUGGGGCUGCAAGGAAUGGUGGUGGAUGUGCAUAUGGCGGAUCUCCUGGGCUCACGGGCACGCUCCACCCUCUCGUUGGACUUCACUUAGAAAACACAAGUUCAAAGAUGAAAGUACGCAGCAGAGCAUUAAAUCUGGCACAGGUCACACGCCCAUGAAGUCAGCCCUGCCUCUGGACAACAGCCAGCAAGGAAGUGAACCUGCCGAUGAACUUGGAAGUGGAUCCCCCCCAGCCGGGCCCUGAGAUGCUCACUGGCCCAGCCAAUACCUCCAUUUUACAGACCCAGCUAAGCCAUGCCCAGAUUCCCGACCCACAGAAAGUGUGAGAUAAUAAAG